rnacentral:rRNA from 1 species
GACGAACGCUGGCGGCGUGCCUAAUACAUGCAAGUAGAACGCUGAAGGAAGGAGCUUGCUCUUUCUGGAUGAGUUGCGAACGGGUGAGUAACGCGUAGGUAACCUGCCUGGUAGCGGGGGAUAACUAUUGGAAACGAUAGCUAAUACCGCAUAAAAUUGGUUAUUGCAUGAUAGUCAAUUAAAAGGUGCAACUGCACCACUACCAGAUGGACCUGCGUUGUAUUAGCUAGUUGGUGGGGUAACGGCUCACCAAGGCGACGAUACAUAGCCGACCUGAGAGGGUGAUCGGCCACACUGGGACUGAGACACGGCCCAGACUCCUACGGGAGGCAGCAGUAGGGAAUCUUCGGCAAUGGACGGAAGUCUGACCGAGCAACGCCGCGUGAGUGAAGAAGGUUUUCGGAUCGUAAAGCUCUGUUGUAAGAGAAGAACGAGUGUGAGAGUGGAAAGUUCACACUGUGACGGUAUCUUACCAGAAAGGGACGGCUAACUACGUG